ACCUACCAGUCCCCUGCUUGAAGGUGUAGAAAAACUGGUAUGUAAAGAACAGGAUUUUGUUUAAGCAGAUGAACAACCGAAAAGAACAAAGAACAGAAUUAUCAGCAAAGAGAACAGAGAGCAGAAUAGUCUCAUAUGGUUACUGCCACCCCUUGUCUUUUAUUUAUAGAAGGAAUCAAACAUUACAAAAUCGUAAAAAGAAAAAGAAACGUAACAGCCAUAAUCUCCUUUAUCUAAGGAGUUAUGUAAAUGCAACUAACUAGACUUAUCCUAGAUAAGUUAAACUUUGACGAAUUGAAAAACAUACUAAUCAACAUCAAGAUAAUGCUGCCAUUAACAGAUAAACAGCAAUGCAAGAGACCAUGGCUAAGUAACAUUGUUCCAGCUUUGGUGCCAUAGCUUCGGCAGAAGGCAUAUGGACUUGACUGUUAAAAACAUAUUGUUCACAUAUAUAAUUCCUAGGUGAAUUGCCCGGGCGAUGCCGCAUAAGGCGUAUAGUUCUAGAAGAUGAUAAAACAAAUAACAAAAUUAAAUCUAAAAACAUUGUAAGCAUUGAGAUUGAACUGAGCAACCAUAUGUAGUAGGCUAUUAGAAAGCUGCCAGAACAAUUCAUAAAAGUAGAGGAUUAAACAUCCCGAGAGCAAAUAAUGGUUGCAAUGCUAGUACAACAGUUUUGAAACCGUCAUAACAAAAGUAAGCCAGAUGAAAUAAAAAGAAAAGAUCUGCAUGUGGCUAGUUAAGGAGACUGAUGUUGGCAAAGCAGAACCGACAAUUGAACUCCAUGAAGAACAGCAAAAAGAGCAUGGGAUUUUGACGGAGCUGCUCAAAAGUGUGGACACAUGGUCCGGUGCCCACGUUUCCUAUUGCAAGGAAAAGGUGUUUAGCUUUCAUCUAAAAGAUAGUAAGUAUUUCCAAGCCAACUCUUAGAGAAAGGAAGGUAAUGUGCAGAAGAAGAAUUAGAGCAAUUAACUGUAAUGUUAAAACUUAAUAGCCUAUAUUGUGUGACUCGUCAUUCUAUGACGAUACAGGAUACUUGUAAACACAGGAGAGGAAAAGGUAGUUGCAAAUGUCUGCAGGAAUUCUAGUAUGCCAAAGAGGAAAUUCUUCUGCUGCCAUCUAAAGAUGGCUUCUCUAGCAGUCCGGAUGCCAAGACCACCCUUAUAAUUUCCCCUGGCAUCUCCUUUACUAAACACAUAGAUCAAAGAAGCAACAUGCUAAUUUGUUAAAAUACCCACAAAUCCUCCUAGCCAGCCAUGCUCAUACUUCAUAGUAUAGAGCGGAAUUGAUGGCAGCAGCAGUGGAGUGAAUUGAAGUAUUCCAGGCACCUAAUUUACUGUGAGCUGCAAAACGACAAGGACAAUUGGAGGGUGAUGUGGGAAUGAAGACUUGAAUGCACUUUAUUUUAAGAAGAAACUCAAUUUUGAUAGAUUGGGAUCCUCAUAGAGGAAUAUAAUUGUCAAGUUUAUUGAAUUUAAAUUUAAUUCCAAUUAAACAUUAGAACACAACUGUUUAUCUCGUGUGUUUGGUUUUCAUCUUCUCAUCCUAUUCCCCGAGUUCCCUGCAUUACUCUAGGGUCCUUUAACUAAUGUUAACAAACAUUAAAUGACACCCUCCUUCCCUUAAGUAAAGAGUAGAUCAAUGAAAAAGGAAAAGAAACUAACCUGGAUUAAAUGACGCAGCAGGACCAGUGCAGAAAAAGGCAGGGGCACCAACCAAGUUAAGGUCAAAAUAAAGUUACGGGCUGACCACUUGAUAGGAAGCUUUCUUGACGUAAGCUUAAAAAAAUAUAAGAACCAAAUCGAAAUGAGAAAGGACAGACACAAACCUGGAAGAAAAGGUGUUGCAGGUAACAGCGGACGAAGUUUCAGCAGACCUAACUAAAGAGCUGAUGCUAUCUAGCUUUUGAUGAAAGGGUGUCAGCACACUCUUUUUUUCACAAGCUGUGAACUAAGAAAGCAGCAAAAUCCUUAAAAGAAAAGCGAAGAAACUAAUCUGUAGAGACAGAUUCUAAAGAAACAGAACAGCAGAAGGCCAAAAAAAAAGAAGAAGAAAUUGCUGCAGCUAAAAAAUGCAGCAAGCAAUGAAGAAUGACACAACCUGAUAAUGAACAGCACAUGAGCAAACAUAGAACAAAAGUAGGUAAGUGACCGCUAUCGGAAUGCAACCAUCCUCAACAACAACAACAAAAAAGAUGGACCCAGGCAAAGUCGAUAUCGACACCAUUUGAGAAAAACAUUUAGCUAUACGAAAAUGAAUGCAGUGAAGGAAAACCAUAGCUGCUUAAGAACCAGCUGAAGGGUCAUAUAACCCUGACAAAGGCUAUUCGAUCGUGCCUAGUCGAAGGCAAUCAAAUACACACAACAUUCCUAAACAUGCACAUCAUAGAACCACUGAUCAAAAAUAGGAGGAAGCUCAGACAUGCUCUUAAACCUAAUUAAAAAGUGCUUCCCAAAAAAAAAAAAGAAACCAGCAGGGUCUCUGAAAAGAAACAAAACUACGAAUCAUAGAGAAUAAUCCCAAAUCACGAACUGGAGCAACAUCACGCAACCUAAGCCAUGGAACAUCAGGUGGUUGCGCCAGCAAAAGGUCGUCAAAAGAGCCGAAAUCCUGAGAAAGAAAGCAGAAAAUAACACCACUGAGCUAAAUUCAACUCUAAAUAAAUGAAUAAAUUCGGAUGACAAUGGGUGAGAAAAAACAAUGGAAACCUGGAAGAUAAUAAAAAAACCAACGACGGUAAAUUGAAUUCCAAUUGAGCUACACCACCGAGCAGAAGAGAGAAAGUACGAAUGCAAAACCAUGUAAAGAAAAGAGAUAGAUUAGCAUAGCGAAUCCUCUACAGGUCUCCCAAUCAGACUCAAAUCAAGCAGAAAAUUAUACCUAAACUCAUCAAUCAAAGUUGAUGGAAUGGGCCAUCGAAACCAAAUCCAGUUGAAGAGGCCAGCACGUUCGUUCAGCACCCAUCCCAACAAAACAAAACCCUGAACAUCCUGCACAACUAGCCAAGAUGGGAGCGUCUUUCCUGGGCAGCGAUCCCAGAGCACCAAUCAAGCGAGGAAGACCGGUGAAUCAAACCCAGAAUUCAUCCAAUCAGCACCCACGCCCAGAAACAGCAAGCCGAAAUAGCAGCCAGGGAUGGCAGUAAAAGAAAAGUUGGCAAGGGGCGCCAACACUGUAAAUUGAAGGGACAAAGAGAUGCACUCCCAUUGGUGGCUUCAAUUGAGAGGGAAGGGCAGGGCGGGAAACCACGUGAAGAGAGGCAGAGUGAUUUGUGCCCGUUUGGCGGCUGCGGGUGAGGUUGAUAGUCAGCCACAGAUAUUAAUGAUUGAUUAAUUUAAAAACAAAAUUUUGUUUUAAUAGGAUCUACCAUGAAUUGUGGUCGUGCCUAGAUUUAACAAAAGCAUAAUUUCUAUGCUUUGCAAAUAGCAGUUGAG
rnacentral:lncRNA from 1 species